rnacentral:rRNA from 1 species
UACGGAGGGUGCAAGCGUUGUCCGGAUUUAUUGGGUUUAAAGGGUGCGUAGGCGGCCCUGUAAGUCAGUGGUGAAAUACUGCAGCUUAACUGUAGCAUUGCCAUUGAUACUGUAGGGCUUGAGUACAGAUGAGGUAGGCGGAAUUGAUGGUGUAGCGGUGAAAUGCAUAGAUACCAUCAAGAACACCGAUUGCGAAGGCAGCUCACUACGGGAUUAUUGACACUGAGGCACGAAAGCGUGGGGAUCAAACAGG